CAGAUGCCCUGUGGCGCUCAGUGCAUGCUGCUCUCCCUUCUCCUCUCUGGUCGCCCUUGGAAUGAGCCUCUUCUGAUCCCAAAGUGCAGUUGAUACCUCAAACCCUUUGGAUGGAGGGAAAAUUUGAAACUGCAACGAGAUGGAUAGAACUAUUUGAUGCUGCAGUUUUCUAAAGUAUCCAUAAAAACUAGUCCGGGG